GCUGCUAUGUGUGUGCAGCCCGUAGGUGGGCUCGAGGCCCCCUCUAUUCCGGCUGGGGCUCGGUCGCGUGUUUGGGAUCUGGAGUGUAGGGGGAAAGGGAAACGGGCACGCGAGCUAGUCUCGAGGUGGUGUUUGGGCAGCGGUACGAGUGGCAGCUAGGGUACCUGCAGCCUACGGGUAGUAGAACUGAGGUACGGGUCCUCCUGGUCACGUAGUGCGACCUGUGGUGGGAGGCUGCCCAAACAGCGGCCUUGCGGAGGUCGGAGCGGUAGCCCCAGAAGAAGUGGUAGCCAGCAGGUCCUAGGGGCGGCAACUGGGUAGCUACGAGCUGGAGAAGGCCGGAGGGGCUGGGCAGGGCUUUGCGGGCUCGUAGCGAAUCUGUUGCUCUGACUGCAGCGACGACGGAGCUAGCUGAUGCCACAACUGCUGGGGAGGAAGAACGGUCUCGUUGGUCCUCGGUCUCCUAGGGCUCCUACCAAGAUGUACCUCAAGCCAAAGCUCCUCAUCAAUCCUCCAGGGUCCGUCCUCCGGAGCGGAAAAGCUAGCAGC
rnacentral:rRNA from 1 species